rnacentral:lncRNA from 1 species
AUUCUUCCUGGAAGAAAUCCCAAGUAACCCUUUCUUUUGGCACCACUGCUACCAAAGUCUUCCACCAGUGGUAGGCUGAAUCUCUCAAAAGUGAUACAGCACACUUUAAACACUCCUCGGGUGUACAUGAGAGCUCAUCAAAUACACGGGUAGAAUUUUCAAGCCAGAACUCCGCUUUCUCGGGAUCAUUAUCGAUCUUUGCUCUAAA